CGUGAAAUUGGGGUCAAAACUUUAAUUUGGAAUUAAAAUUAGAAAGAUCAUAUCAUAGGGAACAUGUGUUCUAAGUUUCAAGUUGAUGUAACUUUAACUUCAUCAAAAACUACCUUGACCAAAAACUUUAACCUGAACUUUGCACUAUCAUUUUCUAUGUUCAGUGGACCAUGAAAUUGGGGUCAAAACUAUAAUUUGGCAUUAAAAUUAGAAAGAUCAUAUCAUAGGGAACAUGUGUAUUAAGUUUCAAGUUGAUUGGACUUCAGCUUCAUCAAAAACUACCUCGACCAAAAACUUUAACCUGAAGCGAACGAACGGAC
rnacentral:lncRNA from 1 species